rnacentral:rRNA from 1 species
AUACGGAGGGUGCAAGCGUUAUCCGGAUUUAUGGGGUUUAAAGGGUGCGCAGGCGGACCUGUCAGUCAGUGGUGAAAUCCCGGGGCUCAACCCCGGAACUGCCAUUGAUACUACAGGUCUUGAAUACGGUUGAAGUAGGCGGAAUGUAGCAUGUAGCGGUGAAAUGCAUAGAUAUGCUACAGAACACCGAUCGCGAAGGCAGCUUACUAAGCCGAUAUUGACGCUCAGGCACGAAAGCGUGGGUAGCGAACAGGAUUAGAAACCCUAGUAGUCC